ACGCGCAAAGGAACUUCCUCUUCCGGAUCACUCAUGGGAGGAAGGUGGCGUGCAGAGUGUUAUUUGUGCUCUUCCAAGGAUUAAAGCAUCAGCUGGAAGACAAAGAGGAUGGCUAUAACAGCACUCCGGAUGACUGAGAAUAACAAACAACAUUGAAAAAGAAAGCAAAUCAAGCCAGAAAUCAAAGUUUUUUCCAUUUCCUUCAAAAACCACACAAUUCUUCUCUUUCCCGAGCAGGUGAUAGAGAAAAAAGAGAAAAUCAAGAAGAGAUUUUGAGCUGGACAAAGUAGUGUGUGUGGAAUUCAAGGAUACAUUACAUGAAAGAUCAAGGGAGAUUAUUUUUCCAUUCAAAAAAGAGGGAAAUACCUGGAAGUCAGUGGGGAGGAAAUGAUCAAUUGGAUAGUGAUAUAGGACAGAGAAUAAUGCAGGCCUCGCUCUGGGAGGAAGAAAAUC